rnacentral:precursor_RNA from 10 species
UCUCACCUACCUUAAGCAAUUUUAUNCUCGCCUUGUCACUUGCCCGUCCAGUCUUAUGAUUGACAGCUGGACGGAGAUCUGAUAAGGACGGGCGACCUGCCAUUCACCUGACAACAUGC